UGCGGAAGGAUCAUUAUCGAGUUUUGAACGGGUUGUCUGCUGGCUCGCAAGGGCAUGUGCACGCCUGUCUCAUCCACUCUCAACUUCUGUGCACUUUUCAUAGGCCGGCUUGUGGGUGCGUUCGCGCACUUGUAGGUGUCGGGCUUAUGCUUUAUUACAAACGAUUCAGUUUUAGAAUGUCAUACUUUGCUAUAACGCAAUUUAUAUACAACUUUCAGCAACGGAUCUCUUGGCUCUCGCAUCGAUGAAGAACGCAGCGAAAUGCGAUAAGUAAUGUGAAUUGCAGAAUUCAGUGAAUCAUCGAAUCUUUGAACGCACCUUGCGCUCCUUGGUAUUCCGAGGAGCAUGCCUGUUUGAGUCUCAUGGAAUUCUCAACCUUCAGCUUUAUUGAUGAAGGCUUGGACUUGGAGGUCGUGCCGGCUCUCGUAGUCGGCUCCUCUGAAAUGCAUUAGUGCGAACGUUACCAGCCGCUUCAGCGUGAUAAUUAUCUGCGUUGCUGUGGAGGGUAUUCUAGUGUUCACGCUUCUAACCGUCUUCGGACAAAUUUCUGAACUCUGAGCUCAAAUCAGGUAGGACUACCCGCUGAACUUAAGCAUAUCAAUA
rnacentral:rRNA from 1 species